GGCUUACUUAACCUGUGGCGCGUGGCGUCAUUGUAGUGUCGAAAAUUGUGGUGGAAAGACGUGUUCGCCGUGACUCCGAUCCAGAUUUCUUACUGCGCAAUCAUUAACUGAUCGAAGAAGGUGAUUGAACGAACAAAAAACGAACAAAAGACGCCAUGACACCGACGCCAACCGUUAACAAUUUAUACAUCGAAACGCAGUAAUAUUUGAUUUAUUACAACACGGCAGACGUAUGUAAAUUUAUAUUUUCUUUUUAUUGGAUCAUUGGUGAAAAAAAUUUGAUAUACAAUACGUAAUAAAUAAUUCAUACGUAAUUAAAUAAUAAUUUUCACAAUCGAGAAUAUUACGAUGAAAGUGGAAAAAAUCGAAUUACCUUCUUAUUUCGAGUUUAUUAAAUUAUUUCUUCGUGUUAUUUCAUAUUUUCGAAUAUAUUAAAUAAAUUAUUUCAUUAUUCGACAAUAAAAUCAUUAGAUAUCGUAACAUUUCGAUCGCAAAUUUUAUUUCGUAACAUCGUAUUUUAUUUCGAAAUCUACGUCGCAACUUUAUUAUUGGGGCGGGGGGGGGGGGGAAAAGGGAGUGCAGGAACAGACAGGUUCAGACACGUUUCGACGCGAAGAUAAACAUGGCGUCUGUAUUGUAUUGUCAUACUUGCCUGAGGCAUGUUUGACUAAGGAAUUUCGAUUCAUCGUGAUAUUCUCGAACUAUUUAUAAAAAAACUAUAUAUUUUAUUCUUAAAAAUUGUAUUUUAUUCUCUGAUUACAAACAUUCAUAAUAUUUUUUCAUUUGUAUUGAUAUUAUCGUAUUUAUCGACAUGAAGAAAUUUUUUAUCGCAAAUAAUUUUAGAAAGGUAGCAGUAUUUUUCAGUACAAGUGCUCAAUAGAAAAAGAAAAAAUAUUUUUUCUUUUUUUUUCUACCCCUUCUUAAUAAUAGUUUUUUUUUCAGAAUAUUUUUGUGAUCGCGCGCAAUGCGGUCAAUAGAGUCAGUGUUUGUUACGUAAUAGUAUUUUUCAUAUUUUUUAGAGCACAAAAGCUCUGAUUAAAUUUAAUUAUUAUAUUUAAAAUCGCGAAAAUAGAGUCAGUGUUUGUUCGCCGAUUGAAAUUUAACGGACGUGUUAAUAAUCUUUUAUUUUAUUAUUAUUUUUUUUAAUAUUCGUUUUCGGUAUAUAUUAGAGUCAGUGUCUCAAGAAAAUAAGGCGAUCAUCCAUCACGCGAAGAGAUCCUGAUAAUAGUGACAGUUCUUCUGGGUUUCAAUCCCCAAAAAUAUUUGUGAUCGCGUGCAAUGCGGUCGAUAGAGUCAGUGUUUGUUACGUAAUAGUAUUUUUAAUAUUUUUUAGAGCAUAAAAGCUCUAAUUAAAUUUAAUUAUUAUAUUCAUUCGCGAAAGUAGAAUCAGUGUUUGCCGAUCGAAAUUUGAACGGCUGUGUGUGGUAGUCUUUUUUUUAUUUAUUUAUUUUUUUUUUUAAUAUUCGUUUUCGGUGUACAUUCGGUAUACAUAGAGUCAGUGCAUCAAGAAAACAAGGCGAUCAUCCAUCACGCGAAGAGUUUCCAUUUCCUUCUACUUGAUGAGAUGACUUCCUAUGGCAAUGCAGAUUCUUCGCAUGUAUGGUGAGUCGCAUGCAUUUUGAUUCCUCCGGUCACUCAAUCAUGUCGUAGGGUGAAAGAUCCGAAUCGACACGGGUGACUGGUUGUAUACGUAGAAUUUUGCACGAGCACAGUGACCGCGGAUAUAUUUAUUAUAUCCGUGAGUAAUAACAUUAUUUUGUUCGUUUUUAUUUAUUAGUUUAGGCUAGGUUUUCUUGCAUAUCGCGAUUACCAUGAGUAAUAUUAUAUUGAUCAUUAAUUAUAAAUUAAUAUUGUCCAUAUUAGUAAUUAAAAUAUGCGAAAGCUAUAAUAUUUGUAAUUAAGUUGAGUAUCUUUAGUUGACAAUAUAUUCGCUAGAGUUAUUUGUAGAAUCACAUUGAUAAAAGCCAAACAUUCAUACAAAUAACAAAUUAUUGAAAUGACUUCAAUUAGAUAUUCCGUAAUGGACAAAGUAAAUAUCCAUAUAAAAUUUACGCGAAAUUAUUGCAAUUAUUAUAUAAGGAUAACACAUAUUAUCAAUGAUAUGUUCCAUUUUAUGAUAAUAUUUUUAUCGAUUUUAUUAAUCAAAUUUUCAUUUUAUAAAUUUUAAUAUAAUUUGAAAUAUAAUAAUAUUAAAAUUCAAUUUAUUUCGUUCAAAAAAUGUAUGAAAUUUUAUAUGCAAGAAGACACUUCGCGACAGGUAGAUUUUGAAAUCAAAGCUACAAAUUUUGAAUAUUUUUUCGAGUUUUAGAAAAUAUGCUUUGAUAGAGGAAUCACCUGAGGAUAUUUUUAUUAAUAUUUAACUUCAAUAUUUAUUAUUAAUUAAAUUCAUUGUAUCUUAAUUUUUUUAAAU